UCGAGGGGUAUUGUUCUUCGGAAUGAGAGACCGGCGCACGGGUGCGUAACGCGUAUGCAAUCUACCUUUUGCAGAGGGAUAGCCCAGAGAAAUUUGGAUUAAUACCUCAUAGUAUGUGAGAAUGGCAUCAUUUUCACAUUAAAGUCACAACGGCAAAAGAUGAGCAUGCGUCCCAUUAGCUAGUUGGUAAGGUAACGGCUUACCAAGGCUACGAUGGGUAGGGGUCCUGAGAGGGAGAUCCCCCACACUGGUACUGAGACACGGACCAGACUCCUACGGGAGGCAGCAGUGAGGAAUAUUGGACAAUGGGCGCAAGCCUGAUCCAGCCAUGCCGCGUGCAGGAUGACGGUCCUAUGGAUUGUAAACUGCUUUUGCACAGGAAGAAACAACUCUACGUGUAGAGUCUUGACGGUACUGUGAGAAUAAGGAUCGGCUAACUCCGUGCCAGCAGCCGCGGUAAUACGGAGGAUCCAAGCGUUAUCCGGAAUCAUUGGGUUUAAAGGGUCCGUAGGCGGUUUAGUAAGUCAGUGGUGAAAGCCCAUCGCUCAACGGUGGAACGGCCAUUGAUACUGCUAGACUUGAAUUAUUAGGAAGUAACUAGAAUAUGUAGUGUAGCGGUGAAAUGCUUAGAGAUUACAUGGAAUACCAAUUGCGAAGGCAGGUUACUACUAAUGGAUUGACGCUGA
rnacentral:rRNA from 1 species